CCUACGGGAGGCAGCAGUGGGGAAUUUUGCACAAUGGGCGCAAGCCUGAUGCAGCGACGCCGCGUGAGGGAUGACGGCCUUCGGGUUGUAAACCUCUUUCAGUAGGGAAGAAUCGAAAGUGACGGUACCUGCACAAUAAGCGCCGGCUAACUACGUGCCAGCAGCCGCGGUAAU
rnacentral:rRNA from 1 species